GUUUGGACGAGAGUCGAUAUUUAGUUUUCCAGAUUUUGUCCCGAGCCAAUUCUCACUCGUCCCCGAUAAUCCUCGCUCGAUUCCAUACUCUGCUUCAAGAUCGUGAUUCCACCCCCAGCUUCAACCAUCUCAAUUCCAACGGUUCACAUAUUCAACUUUCUCUCCUCUAAAUUUCUAGGUUUUCAAUUUUCAUCCCGCCAAUUUUCUAUGCAUAGCACCACGAUACUUGAUCCCACUUUUUUUCUUUCAUUUUCUGUUUCAGCUCAAUUUCAUUUAUAGGUAGUGUUAUACUUGAUUUCUGCACCUUUUUGUUCUUCAAUCAGGAAAUUUACUAGGAUUCAUCGUUUCGUGUGGAAUUUUUUAGGGUUCUAGAAACGGAAUUAUUCGCUUGAGUCGUUUCUAGUCAUAGGAAUUAGGUUUUUCCGUUGGAAUUUAGCAUUUCAGGUUUAUCUAUGAAGACAGGUAGACAUGGGGAUUAUCGCGAUGAGGAAUUCAGGGAUAGUGAUUCUGAUUUUGGUAUUUCAAGGCGUGGGUAUAGUAGUAGUUUUAAGGAAGAGUAUGAUGGAAUUAGAAAUGGUAAGGUUCGGAGUAGGGAUGCUAGAGAGGGGAUUAUUCAGAGACAGAGAGAUAUUAGGGAGAGAGAAGUUUUGAAUGGCAGUUACCGUUCAUCUUCGAGUAGGAGUGACUCUGGUAGCAGUGGUGGCCGUGGUGAUAGGCUUGGUUCUAGAAGAUGUGAGUUUUCUGUCAAGACUAUGGAUAGGGAGCCAGGUGAGCUUUCUAGUGCGAGUGAGUCUGAUGAUGGUGUUGAAUCAGAGUCACUGGUCAAAUGCCAUAAGAAGGUUGUGAUGGGAAAAGAGUUUGAUUAUGGUGUUGAAUCGGAACCAGUGUUGAAACGCCAUGAGGUUGCAAACAGCAAAGAAAAUGGGACUCAGUCUCCAUUUGAGAGGAAAAGAAAAUUUUCGCCAAUAGUAUGGGAUCAAGAUGACAAGAAAGUGAAUAAUUUAUCCAAACUUAAGGUUGUCACAACAUCAACUACUCUUCCUCCACCACCUCUAUUUCCAAGAGAGUUUCGUAAGUCACCUAAUGUUCCUUACAAUGGAGUUGAAUUUCAUCCUCCUGAGAAUCCUGAGUUGCCGGCCGCUAUGGAUCCUUCUAUGGUGUCCGAGUCAGUUCAAGAUGCUGAAUCUGAGUCUCCUGUAGGGUUGGAUUCAAUGCUGUCAGAGCAGAGGUUGGUUAAUGGGCUGGUAGCUGAGCAACCAGAAGCUGAAGAUUAUGUUCCAACUCGUAAUAUAUCAUCUUCAAGGUGGGCAUAUGGAGACAAAUCUUCAGAUGACGAAGGUGAAAUCAUUGAUGAGAAGGAAUUCCUUAAAAGGAGGAGGCUAUCUCCUAAGUCGGCUACGAGAGUAAGAAACAAGACAUUGAAACCAAAGGAAUCUAAAAUUGAAGGUUUUGAUAGGGCUAGAACCAAGUCAUCUGAAUCGGAAGAAAGAGGUAGCACUGGGAGAUACUCCGGUGAAGAUGAUUAUCCUGGUACUGAGGCAGAGAAGGAUAGCUACAUGGAGAUUGAUGGUGGAGUUAGCAAAAGUGACACAAGUGGUAGUCACACAAAUACUGAUUCUGAACCUGAAGCUGAUUGCAGAGAAAGCAUGGAACCUCCGGCUCCACCACAAAGAGUUGUCAACAUGCUUCAGGGCUGUAGAAGUGUUGAUGAGUUUGAGAGGUUGAACAAGAUUGAUGAAGGAACAUAUGGUGUUGUAUUUAGGGCCAAAGACAAGAAGACUGGUGAAAUAGUGGCAUUGAAAAAGGUGAAGAUGGAGAAGGAAAAAGAGGGCUUUCCACUGACUUCUCUGAGGGAAAUAAACAUACUUCUUUCCUUUCAUCAUCCAUUCGUAGUUGACGUUAAGGAAGUAGUGGUAGGUAGUAGCCUUGAUAGUAUUUUUAUGGUUAUGGAAUACAUGGAACAUGAUCUUAAAGGACUAAUGGAGGCAAUAAGACAACCAUUUAGCCAGAGUGAAGUAAAAUGCUUAAUGCUCCAGCUGUUAGAAGGUGUGAAGUAUCUUCACGACAACUGGGUGCUUCACAGGGAUUUGAAGACUUCAAACCUGCUUCUGAAUAAUAAGGGUGAGUUAAAAAUUUGUGAUUUCGGAUUAGCUCGUCAGUAUGGUAGUCCGUUGAAACCAUAUACAUCAUUGGUGGUUACUCUUUGGUACAGGGCUCCUGAACUUCUAUUGGGGACAAAGCAGUAUUCAACAGCCAUUGACAUGUGGUCCCUGGGUUGUAUAAUGGCUGAGCUACUGGCCAAGGAACCGUUAUUUAAUGGGAGGAAUGAAUUUGAUCAACUUAACAAGAUCUUCAGAAUUCUCGGCACCCCAAAUGAAACAAUUUGGCCUGGGUUCUCAAAAUUACCUCAAGUCAAGGCCAAUUAUGUUAAGCAUCAGUAUAAUCUACUGCGCAAAAAGUUUCCUGCAACAUCAUUCACCGGAUCCCCAGUUCUUUCUGAUUCUGGAUUAGAUCUGUUGAACAAGCUUCUCACUUAUGACCCUGAAAAGAGGAUCACUGCUGAAGAUGCUCUCAACCAUGGGUGGUUUCGUGAAGUUCCCCUACCCAAAUCUAAAGAAUUCAUGCCUACAUUUCCUGCUCAACAUGAUAAAGACAGGAGAAUGCGAAAAUAAUAAAGAGUCUACAUCUGUUAGAGGAGAAGCACUAGAAGGAUUUGCAGUAGGGAGAAUCAGGAACUGGUAGUAUUUUUCGUUAACAGUGGUGCAAUCUAAAGUUUUGGUCUUGAUAGUCAUUUUAACACACUGUUGAAUGUUUGCAUGCUUGAGGGGAGAGAGUACGCCCUAAAUGGAUGUUCCAAACAUUGUUAGACAAUAGCUUGUGCUGUUUUUUUUAUCAGGCACCCUGUUUUUAGUUUGCAUUGAGAUAUGUAUUCUUUAUUACCUCCUGGGAGACAGAUUUAUUUCAGGUUUACCAUCAUUGUUGAUCAUCAUAUAGAAAUGCAAAUGGGACACAGCUUGCAGAAUAUUUUAGGAAUAGUCCAUGCAUGCUGACACUUAGAAAGUUCGUGUGAAGUGGAAGACGAGUGCAUUCUGUUAUUUUGUUGAAGAAAAUGACACUAACUUUUCACAUCAAAGUAUCAAAGCUAGCAGGUUGAGGAUGUUACCUGUAUACCCUGGAAUAUAUGGAACUUUGUUCCAUCAGGCUCUCUAGAGUGCUAUUGCUUAUUCAAAUGGCUUGUUAAAUUGACGGUCAAUUAAAUGAUUCAGCAGUAAUUCAUGGAAGAAGUCUCGUCAUUAAAAUGGAUUACCUAGGAUAAUGGUUGUCAAACAUUAACUGAGCAAGUAGGAAGAUAAUUGACCUCAGUCUGGAUUUAAUUAAAAUUGAUUUUUUCCCCUCUGGCUCUAACAACUGUAAUCUGUGCCUAAAAAAAAGGUAAAACAUGGUUUUUGGGGUUGGAUGCAGUGAAAUUCGAUCUUGGUAACUAAAACUGAAGUGAAAAUUUCAUCAUGGCAAAUAAAGUCUGUUUUAUUUGUCUAAAAUGUUGUCAACAUUUUUAUGGUAGUGUUGAUAUGGAGUCUUGAACUGGGUCUUAUUUUAUUAAAUCAUAAAAUUUUAUGGUGGUCAAAUUUAGUGGAAUUAUUUGGAAGAUGGUAGUAAGGAGCAGUUGAAGCGUCUGUACUUGACGGAUGGUAACAGUUUGAGAAUAAAUGGUUACUCUAUUCUUUUUAUCUUUGAUUUCUUAUUUUCCCAAUUUAUGUUGACAAUUGAAGGGGUGCAUCUACAGCAGUUGUGGACUGUGGUGCAUUAUUUUGCUGAUGGCAGGCUUUUAGUCAUUUUAUUUGUGCCACAAUACUUGACCCUUAUGUUAGAACUAUGUUUUUCUUCUGUUUUCGAUCUUGGUAUGAUCGAUGCCAUUCUCGUCAACUUAGAAGUGGGAUCCACUUGCUGCUUGAUUGCUUUAUCCAAUGAUGGAAGAAUUUUGACAACCGUCUGUAUUAGUUUAUACGGCUGGCUGGGAGACGGGCUUGCUAGAAGGUGCAAGUGUCGUGCAAUUAAUAAAAUCUAGACAUUUUGUUGUAUUCCCCAAAAUCCUUCCCCAGCUUUUUUUUUUGUUUGUUGCAUUGGGCAUGCUGUAAGUAAAUAAUAAUUUUUUUUUACCCAACUAUAUUUUACAUAUAGUAUGUUACCAGCCGGAAGUUUGUAGCAA